GGCCUCUUCUUGAAAGCUACCACCGAAGGAUGAGCCUGCGUCCCAUCAGCUAGUUGGUAAGGUAAUGGCUUACCAAGGCGAAGACGGGUAGCUGGUUUGAGAGAAUGAUCAGCCACACUGGCACUGGAACACGGGCCAGACUCCUACGGGAGGCAGCAGUGAGGAAUAUUGGGCAAUGGGCGAAAGCCUGACGCAGCCACGCCGCGUGAGCGAUGAAGGCCUUGGGUCGUAAAGCUCUGUGGGGAGAGAAGAAUAAAGACCUGUGAAGAGCAGGCCUUGACGGUAUCUCCUUAGCAAGCACCGGCUAACUCCGUG
rnacentral:rRNA from 1 species